CCGGACCCUAUUGCUAUCUGGGUGAGACUAAGCCAUGCGAGUUAUGCGCUCCCUAGCCAUGUUGGGAGAGCAGCGAACGGCUCAGUAGCACGUAGUUAAUCUGCCCUUGGGACGGAGAUAACCCUGGGAAACUGGGGCUAAUAUCCGAUAGAUAAAGAUGCCUGGAAUGGCUCUCCAUCUAAAAGCUCUUAGAGACAUGCCUCUGAGAGUGCCCAAGGAUGAGACUGCGACCGAUGAGGCUGUUGGCGGGGUAACGGCCCACCAAACCUAUAACCGGUACGGGCCCUGAAAGGGGGAGCCCGGAGAUGGGAACUGAGACAAGGUCCCAGGCCCUACGGGGCGCAGCAGGCGCGAAACCUCCGCAAUGCGCGAAAGCGUGACGGGGUUACCCCGAGUGCCGUCCGUGAGGAUGGCUUUUCCCCAGUGUAAGGAGCUGGGGGAAUAAAGGGGGGGCAAGUCUGGUGUCAGACGACGCGGUAAUAACAGACCCCUGAGUGAUAGGGACGACUAUUUAGCCUAAAGCGUCCGUAGCCGGCUUAGCAGUCUUUCCGUAAAUCUGACGACUUAAUCGGCAAGGCCGGCGAAGAAUAUGGUAGGCUAAAAGGCGGGACACGUACAGGAGACCCGGAGAAGGGUGAAUCCUUUAUCCGGGAGCCCCCGUGCAGAGGGGAAUUAAAGCACUAGGUAGGAGAGUGGGGCACCGGUAACCGG
rnacentral:rRNA from 1 species